rnacentral:rRNA from 1 species
GGUCGAGCCAAGAUGAGAAUCCGACUCAGUGAUCCGGUGGCACUGCGUGGACGGGCCAUCGCUCCACGGAUAAAAGCUACCCUGGGGAUAACAGGCUUAUCUCCACCAAGAGUCCACAUCGACGGGGAGGUUUGGCACCUCGAUGUCGGCUCAUCACAUCCUGGGUCGAGAGUAGGGCCCAAGGGUUGGGCUGUUCGCCGAUUAAAGUGGUAGGCGAGCUGGGUGCAGAACGGCGUGGGACAGUUCGGUCCCUAUCCGUCGCAGGCGUAGGAAAUUUUAGAAGACCUGACGUUAGUACGAGGUGACCGGGAUGGACGUACCUCUGGUGUACCAGUUGUUCUGCCAAGGGCAUGGCUGGGUAGAUAUGUACGGAAUGGAUAAGCGCUGAAAGCAUCUAAGCGCGAAGCCAACUUCAAGAUAAGAUUUCCCACCGCAAGGGUAAGACCCCAGAAAGACUAUCUGGUUGAUAGGUCGAAGGUGUAAGUGCAGCAAUGUAUUUAGCUUAUCGAUACUAAUAGGUCGAGGACUUGACCAAAUU